AAAUAAGAAGCAUAUAUAAUGUAAUUAGUUUCGACCUAAGAGAAGAUAAUAAAUAUCCUUAUUUA
rnacentral:tRNA from 1 species